rnacentral:rRNA from 1 species
ACCAGGAGUGGAAUCUGCGGCUUAAUUUGACAACGCGGGAAAACUCACCAGGUCAGGACACGGUAAGGAUUGACGGACUGAAGGCUCUUUCUCGAUUCCGUGGAAAGUGGUGCAUGGCCGUUUUUGGUUGGUGGAUCGAUCCGUCUGGUUAAUUCCGUUAACGAACGAGACCUCGGCACUCCGAAUAGCGCGGCGGACGUCGCGGCCUCCGGGGCCGUCUUCCGCACGAGCUUCUUAGAGGGACCGUCCCCCGCCGGGGAAGGAGGUGCGAGGCAACGACAGGUCUGUGAUGCCCUUAGAUGUUCUGGGCCGCACGCGCAUUACACUGACGCGUCCAACGGGUGACUCCCGACCCGAAGGGGCCGGGGAAUCCGCAAGGCGCGUCGUGAUGGGGAUUGAACGUUGCAAUUGUUGUUCACGAACGAG